rnacentral:rRNA from 3 species
GAUCGCGGCGACGUGAGCGGUUCGCUGCCCGCGACGUCGCGAGAAGUCCAUUGAACCUUAUCAUUUAGAGGAAGGAGAAGUCGUAACAAGGUUUCCGUAGGUGAACCUGCGGAAGGAUCAU